rnacentral:rRNA from 1 species
UGGGGGAUAUUGCACAAUGGGCGAAAGCCUGAUGCAGCGACGCCGCGUGGGGGAUGAAGGCUUUCGGGUUGUAAACCUCUUUCGCUAUCGAACAAGGCCCGCUUAGGGUGGGUUGAGGGUAGGUGGAGAAGAAGCGCCGGCUAACUACGUGCCAGCAGCCGCGGUAAUACGUAGGGCGCGAGUGUUGUCCGGUAUUAUUGGGCGUAAAGGGCUUGUAGGCUGCUUGUUUCGCCUGCCGUGAAAACGCGGGGCUUAACUUCGCGCGUGCAGUGGGUACGGGCAGGCUUGAGUGUGAUAGGGGUGACUGGAAUUCCAGGUGUAGCGGUGGAAUGCGCAGAUAUCUGGAGGAGCACCGAUGGCGAAGGCAGGUCACUGGGCCAUUACUGACGCUGAGGAGCGAGAGCAUGGGUAGCGAACAGG